CCCUUAGAUGUCCUGGGCCGCACGCGCGCUACACUGAUGCAUUCAACGAGUUUUACCUUGUCCGAGAGGCCUGGGCAAUCUUUUAAACCUGCAUCGUGAUAGGGAUAGAUUAUUGCAAUUAUUAAUCUUGAACGAGGAAUUCCUAGUAAACGCAAAUCAUCAAUUUGCAUUGAUUACGUCCCUGCCCUUUGUACACACCGCCCGUCGCACCUACCGAUUGAAUGAUCCGGUGAAAUCUCGGGAUUGUGGCCAGUUCACUUUAUUGGGAGUUGACUGUGAGAACUUGCUUAAACCUUAUCAUUUAGAGGAAGGUGAAGUCGUAACA
rnacentral:rRNA from 1 species